rnacentral:rRNA from 1 species
AGAGUUUGAUCCUGGCUCAGGAUGUACGCCGGCGGUGUGCCUAAUACAUGCAAGUCGUACGCGUUGGCCCAACUGAUUGAACGUGCUUGCACGGACUUGACGUUGGUUUACCAGCGAGUGGCGGACGGGUGAGUAACACGUAGGUAACCUGCCCCAAAGCGGGGGAUAACAUUUGGAAACAGAUGCUAAUACCGCAUAACAAUUUGAAUCGCAUGAUUCAAAUUUGAAAGAUGGCUUUGGCUAUCACUUUGGGAUGGACCUGCGGCGCAUUAGCUUGUUGGUAGGGUAACGGCCUACCAAGGCUGUGAUGCGUAGCCGAGUUGAGAGACUGAUCGGCCACAAUGGAACUGAGACACGGUCCAUACUCCUACGGGAGGCAGCAGUAGGGAAUCUUCCACAAUGGGCGCAAGCCUGAUGGAGCAACACCGCGUGAGUGAAGAAGGGUUUCGGCUCGUAAAGCUCUGUUGUUAGAGAAGAACGUGCGUGAGAGCAACUGUUCGCGCAGUGACGGUAUCUAACCAGAAAGUCACGGCUAACUACGUGCCAGCAGCCGCGGUAAUACGUAGGUGGCAAGCGUUAUCCGGAUUUAUUGGGCGUAAAGCGAGCGCAGGCGGUUUGAUAAGUCUGAUGUGAAAGCCUUUGGCUUAACCAAAGAAGUGCAUCGGAAACUGUCAGACUUGAGUGCAGAAGAGGACAGUGGAACUCCAUGUGUAGCGGUGGAAUGCGUAGAUAUAUGGAAGAACACCAGUGGCGAAGGCGGCUGUCUGGUCUGCAACUGACGCUGAGGCUCGAAAGCAUGGGUAGCGAACAGGAUUAGAUACCCUGGUAGUCCAUGCCGUAAACGAUGAGUGCUAGGUGUUGGAGGGUUUCCGCCCUUCAGUGCCGCAGCU